rnacentral:lncRNA from 1 species
GUCCUACAAAUAACUACACAUGUCAUCAAUAACUCUGCAUAUUUAUAAAUGGGUCCCACAAAUUCUAUUAAGUACUAUGAGAGAGAGGGUGCUUAUUUGAGAAGUGGUACCUAUUUGGUACUAAAAUGUGUUGUGCUCCAAUGAUAGUACCUAAUAAGUACCAUGAGUACCUAAUAGGUACUACACUAUUGGAGAUGGUCAGUGGUCUAAAAUAAUUGCUUAAAACAGAGUACAAACCUGGUUUCUGAGUAUUUCAACUAUCAAUGACAGACCAACUCUCUGACUAAGGAAUCCAAAUCAUCCAGCACCUCAAGCACAACUAUGAAAAUCUAAUUUAUGUUUGACCAAUGACUGCAAUGGAGUAGAAACAGUAGUGAAUUAGUCACAACUAAAGUGUAUACAUAUACCCUUCAAAUGCCUCCAAUAUUGUAGUAACUAAUAUUAAAAACUAGUAUUAAAUUUAGUUCAAUGAGAUAAAUUUACAUCAUGUUUGGUACAAAGAAUGGUCAUUCAAUUAUGCUGCCAUUGGAGAAAGAAAAGAAGUCGUUAUUUCUCAAUACCUCUUGGUCCUAUUUAAAUUUUAAAUAACUUNNNNNAAGAUAUUUCAGUUUUCCAUAAUCAUUAAUUAAUACCAUCACUCUACACAAACAAAUUGAAUAUUUAUGUUAGAGGCUCAAUUGAGUAGGAGAAGGAAUUGAACUUCCAGUGAAAAGUGGUUGUUGGUGUUUCUUCUUUGAAGCUCACCAGCUAGUUGUAGAUAGCUUCCUCUUAGAAAUGUGUUAGUGUUAUAGAGCAUCAAUCAACCUACCAAGUUGAAGAACAUAUUGGUCUCUAGCAUCAAGUCCAGUAGGAGUGUCACGAGGUGAAAAUUCUAUAGGAACAAGGAUUUUGACACAUUAGUCACAUACUGUAUGAUCCUUCUCAUGUAUCCAGAUUCUAGACAUCAAAAUGAUGUUCACAAUUUUAGAAUAAAUCAUCAUCACUAAAUUAAUAUGGUGGCUACUGAUAUAUGAUUAGGAAAAAUAAAAGUUCAAAAGCGGAAACAAUUCCUUUAAACUAAGAAGAAGAUAGCAAUUAAAUCAACAUAAAACAAGGAUUGAUGACAUUAAAAAUCCGUCAACCUUCUUAGCUUAAAUAGAAACCACAACAUUUUGGAUUAAUAACAUUAAACCACACAUAUAUAAAGAUGCAAUAGCAGGGGAAUAACAUAACUACGGUGAAGUGAAAUACGGUGAACCACCAGAGAUAUUACCUUGAUAUAGCGGACCCUAGAAAAGGUGAAAUACGGCGAAGUGAAGUUGAAGAAACAAAACAAAGGCACCAAUUUCAAUGUCGACGACAGGGGAGGCCUUUAUACGGCGAACCCUUACAGUGAGAAGGGAAAUACAGCGGCGGAGGAAAGUUGGGUGCAAAUCAAAGGAGAAGGAAACUCUGCGAUUAUUGAAUAUUUCACGAUUAUUGAAUUUGUUUUAGGCAAGAAAAGGUGUGUGUGUAUAUAUAAAAAAGUAAAAUCACAACAAGUCAUAAUGUCGUAUAGAGGUAAAAUGAAGGAAACCAAAAACAAUGAAGGGAAAAUUGUAGAGUAUGAAAAACUAACAUGUGUAGCAAUGAUUUGGAGGCNNNNN